AAGACUAUACUUUCAGGGAUCAUUUCUAUAGUAUGUGACUAGAGAAUUGUAGCUGAAAGUGUAGCACGGAGGUAACCACGAGGAGGAGGAGGAGAAGGAGCAUUCCCUUCUGAGCGUGAAGCUGGCUUGUGGUGCUGCUUCUCAGCAGCUGUCACUUGCCAUUGAUGAUCGUUCUUCCCUUCUUUCGGCUUGGGUGAGAGGAAGGGAAAGCAGACUGAGUGGC
ensembl:snoRNA U3 Small nucleolar RNA U3